CGACAAUAUCGUUCCUUCCAAAAGAUGAUGCUCGGAGAACGACACCGUCCCAAUCCGUCGGUACACGUUCCGCCGUGGGCCCUCCUCGACGAUACAAAUCCUGAGGCUUAUCCUUCGUCGCCGAUGGGCUCCCACUCCGGCAAUGCUGCUACAGCCUCUGACUACAACCCGUACAAUAUCCAAGAAGUGGUGGCUGCGCUGCAGUGUUAUCUGCCGUCGAACGAACCGGACUUGGACCCUGACUACGAGUUAUCGGGUCUGGAGCCGGACUCUCCGGUGGACGCCUACUCUUGCGAUCAUUUUCGGAUGUUCGAGUUCAAGGUGAGGCGGUGUGCACGUGGCAGGUCGCACGACUGGACCGAGUGCCCUUAUGCUCAUCCAGGUGAGAAGGCGAGGAGAAGGGACCCGAGAAAGUAUCAUUACUCGGGAACUGCGUGUCCUGAUUUUCGAAAGGGGAAUUGCAAAAAAGGUGAUGCGUGUGAGUUCGCCCAUGGCGUGUUCGAGUGCUGGCUGCAUCCUGCGCGUUACAGAACUCAGCCUUGUAAGGAUGGUCCAAACUGUAGAAGGAGGGUCUGCUUUUUUGCUCACACGGCAGAGCAACUCAGGGUUUUGCCUCAACAAAGUCCCAGGAGCGUCAACUCUGUAGAUUCUUACGAUGGAUCACCCCUGAGACAGGCUAGAGAUGCUUCUUGCGCCAAAAGUCUUCCAUUUUUGGCUAGCCCUGGCUCAAUUUCCCCUCCUGCCACGCCGCCGGUGGAGUCCCCUCCCAUGUCGCCGAUGACACAGUCCUUAAGUCGGUCUCUUGGGUCUAACUCGAUCAAUGAAAUGGUGGCUUCACUAAGGAACUUGCAACUUGGCAAGGUAAACUCCUUGCCGCCAUCUUGGAAUGCCCAGAUUGGUGGAUCCGGGUUCGGAUCUCCAAGAGGGUCAAUGGUCCGACCCGGAUUCUGUAGCCUGCCGUCAACUCCGACCUGUGGUCCUACCCGUUCUGGACUGAGUUAUUGUGAUGUCUGGGAAAAUGUUUGCGAGGAGGAGCCUGCGAUGGAGAGAGUGGAAUCAGGAAGGGGCCUGCGUGCAAAGAUGUUUGAGAAAUUGAGCAAGGAUUACUCUCUAGGCCAGGUCGACCAAGAUCCGGGGCAGUCUUCAAAUGGUCCGGAUGUUGGAUGGGUGUCGGAGCUGUUGAUGUGAAGAGAGCCAAGUGGCUCUUAGAAUUGUUUAAUUAUUUAUUUGGAGUCUAUUUUGGUUUCCCCUCUCACUGUGAAUAGCGCUUAGAAGAAUUGAGGUAAGAUGGGAAUCAGGCUUCUGUGGCAACAAAUUUAAAAUUCUGUUAAUGUAUAUGUUUCAUCUUAAAAAAUAUAGCUACAAUAUUAGUAUAAACUGUGGGUGAUGAGUUAAGAAUUUCCUUUUUUGGGGAAUUUUCUGAGCAAGUUGAGAAUUCACCAGGCUAUUGAAGGUGUGAGGAGAAUUUGUAUAGGUGUAGAAGAUGAAUUAUUCCCAUUUUCUCCUUUAUCCUUUUUGUUUGAAGUCGUUGAUUUAUCUUUAUUAGUAGUGUUAAAUCAUGGUCACGGAAGCUGCUGAUCUUAUUAUUAUUAUUAUUGUAAAAAUUUUCCUGGCCAUGUAAUGGUAUGCAAGUUAAUGCAUUGUACAUCUUAUUUGCUCAAGUGUUUAUCGUGUGUACUGGGCUUGGGAUUGUCAUUACCUGGUUUUGUUUUUUUGUAUGUACUUGAAAAUAUCAUACGCUGGAUGGUGGCAUUUGUAAUUUUGAUUGUAUUAUAGAAUGAGUUGGGAGGUGAGAUGAUAAACAUGAGAGAUCCUCUCCUGUCGAGGGUAGACUUUGAGGACAGUCAAAAUUAGAAUAUGUCUCUGUUUAAUGCGACAGAAAAGAGCAGGUUAGGUAACUUAGGUUUUUGGUAUAGAGAGUGAAAACUUGUACCCUACAGUGGAGGCACUGUGCAGGAUAUCAGGAGAUCUUUACUUUCUUUCUUUCUUUCCUUUUUUCACUUCUUUUGCCCUUUGGGUCAUUUAUGACAAGUUGCUUUCAAUUUGAGGUCCUG
rnacentral:misc_RNA from 1 species